rfam:Oryza rufipogon genomic scaffold, chr07
AAAAAAGCAAACUCUGAGUUUGCGUCCAACUUUAACCGUUUGUUUUAUAUGAAAAUUUUUUAUAAUUUGUAUUUUCAUUGUUGUUAGAUGAUAAAACAUGAUUAAUAUUUUAUGCGUGACUUGUCUUUUUAAUUCUUUUAUAAUUUUUUCAAAUAAGACGGUCCAAUAUUGGACACAGAAACUAGGAUUUGUCCCUCUU